UGCAGGGUAAUUAAUCAGCACGGGCGAAGAGGGUUUCCUCUCCGCCCGUGCUCGCAUGUUAAGGGGCUGAAAAAAACC
rfam:Kluyvera ascorbata ATCC 33433 GKAS.assembly.091, whole genome shotgun sequence.